CUGAGAAUUAGCUGCAUUAGUGAUUUUUUUUUUUUUUUUUUUUGCUUUACAUAUGAACGGGAAAGUGCAUAGGAAUGGAGAUUGAUUUAAGCUCUACUGCACAAGCAGGGGAGAAAUUUGGUGGAUGGUCCCACAAAUGUCAUUGACAAGUGAAUUAACCAAGAAGAGUUUGUCUUCAGGACAGCCACAUCAGCUGGAGCUUGAAAAUUCCUUCUAGUGACCUGCACCAAAGUAGUGCUCAAGUUGCUCCAAGGACCUCUUCUCCAUCUGGACUCCUAAAUCCACCUGCAUCGUGUCCUGCAAAAGCCAGGAAAAGCAAGAAAAAUGUGGGGACAGAUGCACACCCCUGAUAUAUCAAACUUCCCUGGAGAUCAAGGGCCAGAGCACAGUGUGAUUCCCCAGCCUCAGGGUUCCUCUGAAGUAGAACAGAGCAACAGGUGGUGGCUGUUAAUGUGCUGAAUGUGGCGUCCCUCUGUGUCCGGCCAUGGAAAACAAAGCAAGCGAGCGGAUCCAUGCCAAACACUUUGCAAGCAUGGAGCUUACACAAUUGGGCUCCACCCACAUGCCUCACAUGGGAAUUUUCUCCCUCACCAGCUGGGUUAAGAUCACAAGAUGGGAAAAAGGAGAGGGGGGGAAAAAAAAGAGAGCUGGAGUUGUUUUCUUUCCAUUGUGGCUCCUCAGCUGAAAGUUCCUUUGCAAGAGAAUAAUAGAAUAAAGAUGAGAACGAACACUGCUGAUGGCUCAAAAUCUGGCACCAAAGUUUAUUUUUUCUAAGCAGUCUGAGCCUGAACAGUCUUGUCAGACAAUGUCAACAGAGGUGAAAAAAAA